rnacentral:tRNA from 1 species
GAUGUUGAUCAGGAGGCGGCAGCUCUGCGAUUCUGGGACGGUCGCGGCACGGUCCGACUGUUCGAUGUGGACCCGAUUUCGC